UACGGGGGGAGCAAGCGUUGUUCGGAUUUACUGGGCGUAAAGGGCGCGUAGGCGGUCAGCACAAGUCAGUUGUGAAGUCUCCGAGCUUAACUCGGAAAGGUCAACUGAUACUGUGCGACUAGAGUGCGGAAGGGGCAACUGGAAUUCUUGGUGUAGCGGUGAAAUGCGUAGAUAUCAAGAGGAACACCUGCGGCGAAGGCGGGUUGCUGGGCCGACACUGACGCUGAAGUGCGAAAGCCAGGGGAGCGAACGGG
rnacentral:rRNA from 1 species